GACGUAGGAGGCGAGCGUUGUCCGGAUUCAUUGGGCGUAAAGAGCGCGCAGGCGGCUUGGUAAGUCGGAUGUGAAAACCCGAGGCUCAACCUCGGGCGUGCAUCCGAAACUGCUCGGCUAGAGGUAGGUAGGGGAGAUCGGAAUUCCUGGUGUAGCGGUGAAAUGCGCAGAUAUCAGGAGGAACACCGAUGGCGAAGGCAGGUCUCUGGGCCGAUACUGACGCUGAGGAGCGAAAGCGUGGGGAGCGAACAGG
rnacentral:rRNA from 1 species